AGCCUCCCAAAUCACUGGGAUUACAGGCAUGCACCACAGUGCCUGGCUAGACAUUUAAUCCCUGCAAUAAUCUUACCUGGUAAACUCAGACUGUUCAAAGUCAUGCAGUUAGGAUAUGGUAGAGCUGGGAUUUGAAAGCAAUCUCUAUGAUUCUUAAAUAUGUCUAAAGACAUAUCUACUGUCUUCUAGGUCUUUGACCUUCUCAAACACCUGCUUUUUCUUAAUAUUUAUUUAUUUGAAAAAAUUUUAUGGAAUGCUUUGCACUAUGUGAAGCGCUGAGGAUGUAAAGAUGAAAACCUGGUGCUAUCCUUAAAACCUGUGGCUUGAAGGGAAAGACAUCUAGGAAAAUAGAUCCCAGGGCUGGGGAUAUAGCUCAGUUGGUAGAGUGCUUGCCUCGCAUGCACAAGGCCCUGGGUUCAAUCCCCAGCACCACACACAAAAAAAGAGAUUCCAGCCAGCUGUGGUAGCACAGGCCUGGAGUCCCAACGACUCAGAAGGCUGAGGCAGGAGAAUUUUAAGUCCAAAGCCAGCCUCAGCAAUUUAGCCAGACCCUAAGCAACUUACGGAGACCCUGUUUCAAAAAAUAAAAAGGGCUAAGGCUGAGGAUGUGGCUCAGUGGGUAAGUACCCCUGGGUUCAUUCCCCUAUACCAACCAAAAUAAAAUAAAACAAAUAUAAAUAAAUAUAGAGAUUUAUUAUUAGGGAUUGGCUCACCUGAUUAUGAUAGCUAAGAAGUCACAAUCUGCAGUCUGCAAACUGGAGACCAAGGUAGUUGGUGGGACAGUUCCAGUCCAAACCCAAAGGCCCAAAAACCCCAGGGACCAACGGUCUAAGUUCCAGUUGGAGUUGAAGGUCUGAGAACUGUCCCAGGGCCGGAGAUCGGAGGUGCCAGCUGAAGCAGACAGGGAGUUCUUUCUUCCUCUGCCUUUUUGUCCUACUCAGGCACUCAGUGGACCGGUGGAUGCCCGCUCAUGUUGGUGGGGCAAUCUUUAAGACCAUCUAGGGAUUCUAAUGCUGAUUUCUCCCGGAAACACUCUCACAGAUACACCCAGAUACAAUGUUUUACCAACUAUUUGAAUAUCCCUUAGGCCAGUUAGGUUGACACACAGAUUCAUUAACACACUCUCCUUUCUCAGUCUCCCCUAAGUCAAUCUUUCAGGCUGCUGAGCUGGUCUUACCCUGACUCUUAUCUGAGGAACUUUUGACAGCAAAGGCUCCUGCCAACAGGGAGCAUCCCACUGCCCUUGGAGAAGAUCCUGACAUGAUGAAGAUGGUGCACAGGACCAACCUGAAAUGUCAGCUAACCAAGUCAAGAAGCAAAAAGUGGCAGGACACAGCAGAGCACAUUUGUAAUUCCAGCACACAGGAGGCUGAGGCAGGAGGAUUAAAAAUUCCAAGCCAGCUUGGGCAAUUUAGGAAGACCCUGUCUCAAAAUAAAAAAUAAUUAGAAGUGGAGAUGUAACUCAGUGGUAGAGCACCCUAGGUUCAAUCCCCAGUACAGAAAAAAAAAAAAAAAAAGAGGUAUUAUGACCCAUGGUAGGCACAAUACCCUGCAAACCACUUUGCUCCUCCCCAUCAUGCUGAGAGCCAGGUAAUAAUAUUCCUGUUUGUGAAAUGAGGAAACAAAAUGUCAGAUAGACUAAGUAAUUAUUCAGAGGUCACACAUCUGUAAAUUGACCCCACGUUGUUUGAAUUCAAAUGUCACAGGUGAUUUAUUUGGUCAGGCUUAUUUCCUUUCUUCCUGAACUAGAUCAUAAUUCAGAUCUGUGUCGUUUUAGGCCCUUUACAACAUGUCCUCGCCCAAGCCUAUCAAUGCACCUUACAUCAAAAAGGAAACAAAGAAAUCUAUUAAAUAAACAAAUGAAUCAUCA
rnacentral:lncRNA from 1 species